rnacentral:lncRNA from 1 species
UGGCGCCGAGAUAGGUUCAAAAAAAUGGGGGCAACAACAACAGUAGUAACAACAUCGAAGAGCUGGAGAUGAGCAAGUUAGGUACUGGCAAUGACAUCGACAAGUAAACACACUACUGUCUCAAAUGUUCUGACAUUCUUUUUCGUAUGCAAAAAUUCGAAUUUAGUUGAAUUCCCCAUGAAAUUCUCUCCGCUGCACAUCCGUUGUCGGAGCCCAUCGUCGACGUCUCGUUGACGGCGGUCACGAGCAAGAGCACCCGUUUUUGACGGGAGCUGCUCCAUACCCUGCUUCCCCUCCUCACCCCCACCCUGUAGUGGUUGGUUGCGAGAAAAAGAAUGACCGUGUACAGUUCCCGUUGGUCGCCUUGCUGCCCUGGGGCGCGAGCUCAUCCACCAGGGGUGCUGGCAGCCGUCCAAGUGGAACAUUGACGCCAAUACAAGUUGAAUCAUGGGAGCGUUGACAUGUUGAGAAAUAAUUAAGUGCGAAAUUCUAAGGCUGUAUGAUCUAUUAACAACAUGAAUUGCAUUUUUCAUCCUUACUGGAUGUUGAGCAUGGCUAGAUUAUAUUUGGCAUUAACACCAUCGGUGUGUAUGCAAAAUCCUCUUUUUUCUCAAUUAUGGUUAAUGCUAUUGUAUGAUACAUAAAAAUUUAGAUAUGAGGGCACUCUUGCUGUAUACACAUGGUAUGACUAUUCUGAAAAAGUUAAAAUUAUAAAAGCAGAUAAGUUCACAGGUUCACCGGUGGAAGUUUUAGGAAUAAAAAGAUCAAAGAAAAGAAGAGUUCAUAAAAUGGUAGUACUGUCUGCUGUUGGCUGAUGUCUCAUGUUGCCUGAAGCCCCUGCUGCUUGCUAGCUACUUGUUGUGCGUGCGCAUUUGUGUGCUGCUGCUGUUUGUUGCUGCAGCAGGGUGAUGUGUGUGAGAGAGAUAGAUAGCAAAUGGAAUUAUCUUCCACAUUGACUAACUCGUGACACACUUGGUUCAGUUUCUAAAUUUAAUCUUGUUCAAUUAGAAUUUUAAUUCAGUUCAAAGACUGUUUCUAUUUAUCUCCUCGAUGUUCAGUUUUGUGUUCUGUUGUUUGCCCCCAAUUGAUCCUUGUGUUAAUGUUUGUAUAUGUUGUGCACUUCUGAUCCCAUAGUGAAGUGAAAAAUGACAAGCGAGAUACGUACUAGUUUGGAAAGUUUCCAAGUUUGAACACAUAAACCUAAAAAAGUUCAUUGAAAAAGUUUGGUUUGCCUGUUCCGUGAAAAUGUCUUGCUAAAGAAAUAUCUCUUGUGCACUUAUUUAUUCGCCUGAAUAUUUGUUUUGAUUCUUAGGUGCGAGAUGGCGGCCGCUGACAUCUCUAAAUCCCUCUACAAACAGGUGGUUGGCUACUCCAAGCGGUAAAUGUGGUCGGAUUCAGCAGCUAGCUCUUCCUCGAGCAACCAUUUGGAGAACUUUAUUGUGUUCUUGUGGUGGUGAUUGAUUUUAGGAUCAGUAAAGUUGAUGUUGGUAGCUAACUUGCGUAUGGAACCUGCAAAUUCAAUAUUGGCAUUAGAUUCAGUUCUUGUACAAAUGUCCCAGAGUUCACAUUUAUGUGGGUAAAAGUUUAUUUUAAUUCAGCUACAGAAACCAUGCAGGUUCAGUGAUGAUGAUACCAUAAGUUCGGACAAGAAAAAAAAUAAGAAUUAAAACAAAAUACUUUAAAUUCUAUAAGUUCAAGUGCUCAUCCACACAAGGUAAUUCA